rnacentral:rRNA from 1 species
UACGGAGGGUGCAAGCGUUACUCGGAAUCACUGGGCGUAAAGAGCGCGUAGGCGGGAUAGCAAGUCAGAUGUGAAAUCCUAUGGCUUAACCAUAGAACUGCAUUUGAAACUGUUAUUCUAGAGUAUGGGAGAGGUAGGUGGAAUUCCUAGUGUAGCGGUGAAAUGCGUAGAUAUAUGGAAGAACACCAGUGGCGAAAGCGGCUCUCUGGUCUGUAACUGACGCUGAGGUUCGAAAGCGUGGGUAGCAAACAGG